rnacentral:rRNA from 1 species
GAUGAACGCUGGCGGCGUGCCUAAUACAUGCAAGUAGAACGCUGAAGGAAGGAGCUUGCUCUUUCCGGAUGAGUUGCGAACGGGUGAGUAACGCGUAGAUAACCUGCCUGGUAGCGGGGGAUAACUAUUGGAAACGAUAGCUAAUACCGCAUAACAGUAGAUGUUGCAUGAUAUCUACUUAAAAGGUGCAAUUGCACCACUACCAGAUGGACCUGCGUUGUAUUAGCUAGUUGGUGAGGUAACGGCUCACCAAGGCGACGAUACAUAGCCGACCUGAGAGGGUGAUCGGCCACACUGGGACUGAGACACGGCCCAGAAUCCUACGGGAGGCAGCAGUAGGGAAUCUGCGGCAAUGGACGGAAGUCUGGCCGAGCAACGCCGAGUGAGUGAAGAAGGUUUUCGGAUCGUAAAGCUCUGUUGUAAGAGAAGAACGAGUGUGAGAGUGGAAAGUUCACACUGUGACGGUAUCUUAUCAGAAAGGGACGGCUAACUACGUG